AUUGAACGCUGGCGGCAUGCCUUACACAUGCAAGUCGAACGGCAGCACGGGAGCUUGCUCCUGGUGGCGAGUGGCGAACGGGUGAGUAAUGCAUCGGAACGUGCCCUGAAGUGGGGGAUAACGUAGCGAAAGUUACGCUAAUACCGCAUAUUCUGUGAGCAGGAAAGCAGGGGAUCUUCGGACCUUGCGCUUUUGGAGCGGCCGAUGUCGGAUUAGCUAGUUGGUGGGGUAAAGGCCCACCAAGGCGACGAUCCGUAGCGGGUCUGAGAGGAUGAUCAGCCACACUGGGACUGAGACACGGCCCAGACUCCUACGGGAGGCAGCAGUGGGGAAUAUUGGACAAUGGGCGCAAGCCUGAUCCAGCAAUGCCGCGUGUGUGAAGAAGGCCUGCGGGUUGUAAAGCACUUUCAGUGGGGAAGAACGGAUACGGGCCAAUACCCCGCAUCACUGACGUUACCCACAGAAGAAGCACCGGCUAAACUCCGUGCCAGCAG
rnacentral:rRNA from 1 species